rnacentral:rRNA from 1 species
AGAGUUUGAUCAUGGCUCAGAGUGAACGCUGGCGGCGUGCCUAACACAUGCAAGUCGAACGAGAACGGAUAUAAGUUUACUUAUAUUGUCAGCUAAGUGGCGCACGGGUGAGUAAUAUAUAGUUAAUCUGCCCUGAAGAAGAGAAUAAUUGUUGGAAACGACUUGUAAUGCUCUAUAUGCCUUUAUCACAUAAGUGAGCAAGGGAAAUAUUUAUAGCUUCGGGAUGAGACUGUACGGUAUCAGCUAGUUGGUGAGGUAAUGGCUCACCAAGGCUAUGACAUCUAACUGGUUUGAGAGGAUGAUCAGUCACACUGGAACUGAGACACGGUCCAGACUCCCACGGGAGGCAGCAGUGGGGAAUAUUGCACAAUGGAGGAAACUCUGAUGCAGCAACGCCGCGUGGAGGAUGACACAUUUCGGUGCGUAAACUCCUUUUAUUAGGGAAGAUAAUGACGGUACCUAAUGAAUAAGCACCGGCUAACUCCGUGCCAGCAGGCGCGGUAAUACGGGGGGUGCAAGCGUUACUCGGAAUCACUGGGCGUAAAGAGCAUGUAGGCUGAUUAGUAAGUUGGAAGUGAAAUCCUAUGGCUCAA